UACAGAGGUGGCAAGCGUUGUUCGGAAUUACUGGGCGUAAAGGGCGCGUAGGCGGCCUUCUAAGUCAGACGUGAAAUCCCCCGGCUUAACCUGGGAACUGCGUCUGAUACUGGAAGGCUUGAAUGCGGGAGAGGGAUGUAGAAUUCCAGGUGUAGCGGUGAAAUGCGUAGAUAUCUGGAGGAAUACCGGUGGCGAAGGCGGCAUCCUGGACCGACAUUGACGCUGAGGCGCGAAAGCUAGGGUAGCAAACGGG
rnacentral:rRNA from 1 species